rnacentral:tRNA from 1 species
UCCCUUGUGGCUCAGACGGUAAAGCGUCUGCCUACAAUGCAGAAGACCCAGGUUCGAUCCCUGGGUUGGGAA